CGCCGCCGUUUCGGGUUUGGGGUCUCCCGGGGCUCCCCUAUGCGCGCACGCACCGAAGCAGUCGGCUCGUUGCUUAGAGGAGAAACGGCGAGGGGGGCACCCGGGGUGGGCAGAAAACAGCCCCAUGGCCACCCCAUAACCACCCCAUAACCACCCCAUAACCACCCUAUGACCAUCCCAUAACCAUCCCAUCACCACCCCAUGACCAUCCUAUAACCACCCCAUGGCCACCCCAUGGCCACCCCAUGGCCACCCCAUGGCACCCUGUGGCCACCCCAUGGCGCACCGGCCCCCCCAUUGCUCUGCACCACCCCAGCUCAACCCCACAGCUCUUUGGGGUGGCUCUGGCUUGGGGACGUGGAACUGGGGGGCUGUGGGAUUAGGGCAGAGCCCCCCCAGGACGGUGGGGGCCGGGUAGGGUGGGCUGCAGGCAGGAGGGAGCGGGGGGGGGAUCUGUGGGGUCCGCGCACGGCCAGAGGGACCCCAGGGGGGCACCACAGUCCAUGCAAGUGCUCUGUAGGGUCUGAAGGACCUGGGGAGGCCACCCCAGUUUAGGGACAGCAGUUUGUAGGACCGAGGGGGGCGCAGAAGGAUGGGGGGGGGGGGGCGGCCGACCGGGGGGGGCCAGGGAGGGGGGGUUGAUGGAGCGGGGGGACCGUGCAGGGCCAGCGGGGGCCAUAUAGGACCAGAGGGACCACCGGGGGCCACCACAAGGUCCUGGUGGUCUGUAGGGCUGGGGGGGCCACCAGGAGAGGGCAACCCCUGGGGGUGGCGGCUCCGGGGGUCCCUCAGCCCCCAGGUGCUGGUGCAGGGCGCUGGGGGGGGGGUUUUGGGGGGCCCAGGGGGCGCGCCCGCACACCGAGGCGUGCGGCUCGGAGCACCCCGUGCGCGUCCCGCCCCCGGUGCCACCCUCCGGCCGCCAGCCCCUCGCUCUCCAAAAGCUGUGGUUUGUCCCCAAAUCAUCCCAUCAUAAUGGGGGGGCAGCGGUCGUGCCCUCUGCUCUCCUUUUUUGGGGUCACUCGGACACAGGGACCGUGGCACCGUCCCCAUCCCUUUGGGGU
rnacentral:lncRNA from 1 species